rnacentral:rRNA from 1 species
CCCCAGACUCCUACGGGAGGCAGCAGUGGGGAAUAUUGCACAAUGGGGGAAACCCUGAUGCAGCGACGCCGCGUGAGCGAUGAAGUAUUUCGGUAUGUAAAGCUCUAUCAGCAGGGAAGAAGAUGACGGUACCUGACUAAGAAGCCCCGGCUAACUACGUGCCAGCAGCCGCGGUAAUACGUAGGGGGCAAGCGUUAUCCGGAUUUACUGGGUGUAAAGGGAGCGUAGACGGCGAUGCAAGCCAGAUGUGAAAGCCCGGGGCUCAACCCCGGGACUGCAUUUGGAACUGUGUGGCUGGAGUGUCGGAGAGGCAGGCGGAAUUCCUAGUGUAGCGGUGAAAUGCGUAGAUAUUAGGAGGAACGCCAGUGGCGAAGGCGGCCUGCUGGACGAUGACUGACGUUGAGGCUCGAAAGCGUGGGGAGCAAACAGGAUUAGAUACCCGUGUA